rnacentral:miRNA from 1 species
CACCUCACCGACCUCAAGGAAAUCCUUCUGGUUGAUGAGGUAUAACAUCAUUGACCAGAAGGAUUUUCUUCAGGUCGAUGAGGUG